CCUAUCCCUAUCCCUCUCCCUCUCCCUAUCCCUCUCCCUCGAAUCCCUCUCCCUAUCCCUCUCCGUUGAUUUUUCUUUUUAAAAUUUUGCUAAUUUUUGUGUUUUGAUUUGAUUCAGGGAGGAAAGCGAGCUUCUUUGUUGUCAGAUCUGACGCCGGGGUUAGCUCGGGUUCGAAUUCGAAGGCUCGCCGGGCUGAUCAGCUGAUUACCAAUGUUGUUGCAACCAAAGCUGAUGGCGCUGCAGCUUCGACCGCAUCGAAACCUGGGGGAGAGAUGAUGAGAGGUGCGGGAGGCCCUCUUCUAUGCAUAGGCGAUCUGCUGAGCGACGUGGGGGAAUCAGAUGCUUCGCCGCCACCGCAACAACCUGAGACCUCUUCGUCUUCUUUUGUUUCCAGCUCCGAUCAGAGCUUGGACCUCACCAAGUUGUUCCAGGAGAACUAUGAGCAGCUGAAUGAGGCGCUUGACGGUACAGAUCAUUCAUGGGCAGCUCUUACUUUGAAGUUAUGCAGUGCUUUGGAAACUGCAAACAAGUUAGUUCAGUCAACAAACUCAAAUGUCAUGUCAAUGUCGGAGAAGGUUGGAGAGCUUGAGGGAGUUAUCAAGAGGGCAGAUUCUGCCAUAACAGCAGCAAGGGUGGUUCAUGGUUCACUAAACAAAAAGGAAGGACCACUUAUUGGCAAUCAAAAUGCCAAAUGAUCCAUGUCUUGUCGAGAGCCAGGUUAGUUAAUUCGAUCAAGGGAAAAAAUGUGAAAAUACUAAGCCUUAGAAACUGCGGUGUUUGCUGUUAAAAAAGUCUUUUCCUUUGCUUUUCUUCAUUUUCACAACAAAAUGUAUCAUACAAUAGGAGUAAGAAAGCGAACCUGUCUGAUGCAAAAGGGAGAUGUAACUAUCAAUUAUCCAUCUUGUAUGGAUAGACCAAAUCUAUCUCUUGCUUAUUUAAAAAAAAAAAAA